GACGAACGCUGGCGGCGUGCUUAACACAUGCAAGUCGAACGGAAAGGCCCUGCUUUUGUGGGGUGCUCGAGCGGCGAACGGGUGAGUAACACGUGAGUAACCUGUCCUUGACUUUGGGAUAACUUCAGGAAACUGGGGCUAAUACCGGAUAGGAGCUCCUGCUGCAUGGUGGGGGUUGGAAAGUUUCGGCGGUUGGGGAUGGACUCGCGGCUUAUCAGCUUGUUGGUGGGGUAGUGGCUUACCAAGGCUUUGACGGGUAGCCGGCCUGAGAGGGUGACCGGCCACAUUGGGACUGAGAUACGGCCCAGACUCCUACGGGAGGCAGCAGUGGGGAAUAUUGCACAAUGGGCGGAAGCCUGAUGCAGCAACGCCGCGUGCGGGAUGACGGCCUUCGGGUUGUAAACCGCUUUCGCCUGUGACGAAGCGUGAGUGACGGUAAUGGGUAAAGAAGCACCGGCUAACUACGUG
rnacentral:rRNA from 1 species